rnacentral:lncRNA from 1 species
CAAUGUUUAUGCGCAGUCCAUAGUUAUUGAGUGUUUGGAAGAUUAAUUCAAGAUGUUUUUUGCGUGUUUCAGCAUCUGGAGAGGCGAUGAGAAUGUCGUCGAGAUAGCAAAAUACAAAGUCUAGGCCGCUAAGCACUGUGUUCAUAAAACCUUUGGAAGGUUUGUGCAGCAUUGCGUAAGCCAAAUGUCAUGUAAGGAAAUUCAAAAAGUCUGAAAGGUGUUAUGAUUGCUGUCUUCGGAAUAUCAGCUUCAUGAACAGGAAUCUGUUGGUACGCUCUUAUUAAAUCUAUGGUGGAAAAAAUCGUUUUUCCAUGCAGAAUGUGAGUACAGUCAGUUAGAAAUGGUAGUGGGUAACGGUCUGGUACAGUAUUUGCAUUAAGGCCACGGUAAUCGCCACAUGGUCUCCAGUCACCGGAUUUUUUUAAAGUGAGGUGUAAUGGACUUGACCAGCUGCUUUACGGUGGUCUGCAGAGACCUUCUUGCAACAUAUAAUCAAAUUCCUUUUACGCGGCAAUCAACUUUUCUUGUGAAAGUCUUCUGUCUUUAAAGGAUACAGGGUUACCUUUGGUUUCUAUGUAAUGUUGCACGUCAUGUUCUUUAAUUUUACUGUUUUUUAUGUUGGGUUUAAGUAAGUCAGAAAAUUUGUUUAGGAUAGCUCUAUAUGGGUUUUAAAAAGUAUUAGCAAUGAAUUUAGGAGUGAUGCUAUUGUUACACAAAGUACCCUUUAGCCGUUAAUGAGGUGGUGCCAUUGAUUAAUUUCCUGUUUUUACUAUCGACUAACAAAUUAAAAUGUGAAAAAAAGUCUAUUCCCACGAUAGGUUUAUGAACGUCCGCAAUGAUGAAAGGCCAUUUGAAAGAUCUGCGUAGCCCUAAAUCGAGCUCCAAUAAUUUUUGACCGUAUGUUUUGAUUGUUGUACCAUUAGCUGUGAAUAACUCAAGCUAAGCCACAAUUCCUUUUUCCGAUGGUGAUGGUGGGAUAACCGAUAUUUCUGCUCCAGUGUCAAUUAAAAAGUGGGUUGCUGUUGCGUUGUCACGAAUAUAUAGACGACUCAGCUGUACCCCUUGACUUUCUAUCGUCAUCGAAGGCCUGGGAAUCAGUUUUCCUCUUUCAAGACCUGGUAUUUACAUGGUGGGGUGCACUUGUAUGCUCUCUCACCAAAGCGUUGAUGAAAAUAACAAUUAUUUGGGUCAUUAUUAUUUUUCAAACGAUUUCUAGAAUUCUACCUGUAUCGUUGUCUUUGUGGACUGGAAUUUCUACGCGUAUUCAUUUCUGCUAUCUGCAGUGUCAAGUUUGAUAUCUGCAUCUGUAAAUCUUCGAGGGUAAUGUUAUCAGAUGGGGAAAAAACAAUGUGAGCUACCUGGGAUGGAUUGGGAUUUAAUUCCCAUAUUUUGUCAGGCAUUGUAGACAAUUUGGACAAAUCAUCACUGCUUGCAGAUAAAAUGCUCCGCAUAUCAAGUUUUUAAAAAUUCAUCUGGCACUUUCUCAGCUGCCAAGUUAUGCAUUUCGCAGAGAAGUUGGGAUGGUUUCUUAUCACCCAGUUCUAAAUCGGUCAGAAGUUUUCGGGUUUACUGUGUUUCAGAGUCGGCAAAAAUUUCAAUCAGCCUUUUUUUAAUGGCCGGAUAUUUGCCAUUGUUUGGUGGUUUGGUGAGAAUAUCAGAGAUUUGUGACAAUGUCCCUGUUUCAAUAGAACUGACCAUGUACGCUCGGAAUUUACAUUUUACAGACGCACUAAAACAAUCGGUUCAUCAGUUCUUGAUGUAAUCCAUGCGCACCAGAAGCACUUCGAAAUCGAAACUAUCGCUCAAUCCAUUGUCAAAUUCAGGAGAAAUAUUGCGUAACUUUAAAAAUGGGUAAGUAGCUUCUUACGACACUGUCCAUAACAUUUAUUCGGUAACAGGUGACUAUUUAUAAAGUACUUAUAAUGUCAGUGACAUCUCCUAAAAUUACAGAAACAUCGUACGUUCUUUUUUCAUCAGACACUUUAUAAGUUGAAUUCAAUCGCAUCCAGGUAAACCAGUGUGGAUAUCUUGAACAUAGGAAAUGUUAAACAUUGCUUUUACUCCAAUAAGAUUAAUAUUUAUUUACAUUUUUUAGAUAUAGAAUCUCGCAGACAAAAAAUCAGUCAUCGUUCUUUUUCUGCUUCAUGUUGCCAUUCUGGCAAAAAGAAAAUUUCAUGCGAGAAGUUUCACAGAUGGCGCUUCAAUAACGCGAAUGAUGUCGCCACAAUCCGUACCCUGGGGUGUUCUGCAGUUUCGUUGUAUGUAUCCUUCAGCACCGCAGUUCCAGCACUUAACGGUCAGUUUCUUAUCACCAAUAUUCCAUCUCAAGGUGUUCAGUUGUCUAGUUAAAACGUCUAGACGAGCAGUGACUUGAUCCUCUGGCUCCUGGACUUGAGCAGCUCUGACUGGGUGGCGGUCUCGACGAGUGGCUUGCUGGGCUGCCUAGAAUUUUAUGGCGUAUACUAAAGUGCUUUUCAAAUCUUUAAGAUCCACCAUUCACAGUGCUUUCUGUAUUUCAGGGGCCGGGAUGCCAUCCAUGAAAUGUUGCAGUGACGGGAUUUCUCUUGUUUCUGUCGGGCACUCCGAAAAACGUAAUGUAGCCUUUCAACAUCCGUGGCAACACUUUUCCCCAAAGUGCCAGAUAGAGCUUCAAAAUCUAGUCUCUGAUUUUCGGGAAGCAUCUGCAGGAUAUCCGCUGUGUCUGCUCUCAGAGAAGCGGCGAGAUGACAGGCCUUAGCUUAGGAAUCCCAUUCAUUCGCAUCCGCAACUAUAGAAAAUUGGAUCUUAUACACUUGCCAGGAUGUCUUCCCAUUAUAUGUGGAUAGCUUCAGAGAUGGACAAGCAAGCAUUGUAAUAUUCAAGAAAGAAAUAUUUUAUUUUAACAUGUCACUGUAAUGAAGCCUGUGCAAUGAAAUGCAACUUUCUGGAUGUAAUGGAUUGCUUCGGUCACCAAGCACCUGUGUUUGAAAUACAUCGCAUUGAAUUCUGAAUUAACUUUGUAUGUGAACAGCUAGUUUAUUUUGUGUGUGUGUGUGAGAUUGCACAGGAACUUUGGUGUUCUAUUCUCAUUCAACAGUCGGAUAUCAGUAUGCAGAAUAUUCAUGAUGAUCCAGGUAAUGUAUUGGGUAACUAUAAUUGUGCAAUGUGCAGAUAUAUUUCUUCACUGUAGCUGUAAACAAAAAUGAGGGGAAUCAUUGAUAUUGUGACAUUCAAAUUAGAGCAAAUAUGUGUCAGCUCGAAAUAAGAAAUGCUUUUCAUGUAUAAUCCUUUAAAAAUGGUGCAGUUGUGAGAAUCUUAGCUUGAAACUUGGGUGAAUUAUAGUUCAUCUGAUUUAUUAUCAUGUUAUUAAUUUUACCCUUGUAUAUAUACCAGAAUAUGCUAAAAAUAUAUUAAAUCUGAACAUACA